UACGUAGGGUGCAAGCGUUGUCCGGAAUUAUUGGGCGUAAAGAGCUCGUAGGCGGUCUGUCGCGUCGGCUGUGAAAUCCCGAGGCUCAACCUCGGGUCUGCAGUCGAUACGGGCAGACUAGAGUACUGCAGGGGAGACUGGAAUUCCUGGUGUAGCGGUGAAAUGCGCAGAUAUCAGGAGGAACACCGAUGGCGAAGGCAGGUCUCUGGGCCGAUACUGACGCUGAGGAGCGAAAGCGUGGGGAGCGAACAGG
rnacentral:rRNA from 1 species